rnacentral:rRNA from 1 species
AUGGCAGAGUCACCACUGCCGAGAUGGGCUCCGACGCCGAGCCCCACCAGGCCAUUACAGUCGACGACGUCGUCGAGCACUGCUAUGGUUUCAUGGCGCGGCCGGUCGGCGUGGCCAUCAAGCCCUAUCUUCUUCCCACGUUGUCUCUCUAACUCAGAGCAAUGGGAAGCUUCGCCGGCCGAUGGGGAAGUGGACAAUGUGGAGCUAGGCGUUGCCGGGGUAUUUCUGAAGUGGCAGGAUCUAUCGGUGACGGUCAUAAACGGGAGAAAGGGACAUGCUGUGGUCCUUGAUGGGCUUAGUGGGUACGCGCGCCCUGGCGAAGUGCUGGCUCUCAUGGGUCCUUCGGGCUGUGGCAAAACUACUCUACUUGAUGCCUUGGCUGGACGACUCAGACCUAACAUGAAAGGGAGGGGAGAUAUCCUGAUCAAUGGUUGCCGUCAGAAGGUUGCAUCAGGAACCUCCUCCGCGUACGUGACCCAAGAAAACAUGCUGAUGGCGACGUUGACGGUGGCGGAGGCAGUGCACUAUUCUGCACAGCUUCAGCUGCCGGACUCCUUGACGCCGGCGGAGAAGCGGUCGUGGGCCGAUGAUGUUAUCCGGCAAAUGCGACUCGCCACGGUGGCCGGAACUCGGAUGGGCGGGCGAGUUUGCAAGGGCAUCAGCGGUGGCCAGCGAAAGCGAGCGAGCAUCUGCAUUGAGCUGCUGGCAUCACCGGCGCUCAUCUUCCUCGAUGAGCCAACAAGCGGGCUUGAUAGCGUCGCGUCGUACCAUGUCAUGAGUCGCAUCGCCGCGAUCGCCAGAAGGAAUGGGACGACGGUCGUCGCAGCCAUCCACCAGCCAAGCACAGAGGUGUUCGAGCUCUUCCAUGGCCUCUGUCUGCUAGCCAAUGGGAGGGCGGUUUAUUUUGGGCCAACUUCCAAGGCAAUAGAGAGAUUUUCAGAACCAUUAUAUUUCCUUUGUGCAAGGACGGAGCUGCCUUGGGGUUGGAGCACCUUGGUGCUCCUAUUUAUUUCCCAUCCAAUGUUGACUAAUUUCCAAACCAUCUGUGAUUCACUUUUUGGUUGUAGCAAGAACUUCUUGGAUACUCUUGCAACACAUAGCUACUGGCAAUUCUUUGAUGCUAAUGGGUUCCCAUGCCCAUUGAGGAGGAAUCCUUCUGAUCACUUCUUAAGGAUGAUAAACAUAGACUUUGAGGCACGAGCAUCUAUGUUUAUGUUUACAUCAACCUUCAUGACAAUGAUGGCAAUCGGAGCUUUUCCAUCAUUUGUCGAGGAUAUGAAGAUAUUUGAGAAAGAGCAGCGGAGUGGACAUUACGGGGCCAUUGAAUUUGUAAUAGCCAACACACUUUCAUCAACUAUAUACUUGGGUCUCAUCUCCGUACUACCUGCCGCAAUUGCUUAUUACCUAACUGGACUUCGAAGAGAAAUAGAACACUUCUUCUUCUUUGUUGUAACUCUAUGGACAUGCACAAUGUUGGUUGAGGGUUUGGUGAUGAUUGUUGCAGCCAUCGUACCUGAUUUUCUCCUAGGUAUAAUUACGGGUUCUGGAGUACAAGGGCUACUAAUGCUAAACGCUGGCUUCUUCAGGCUUCCAAAUGACCUCCCAAAACCAAUAUGGAAGUACCCAACGUACUACAUAUCUUACCAAAAGUAUACAACUCAAGGAUUGUACAAAAUUGAAUUCUUGGGCUUGGUCUUCCAAGAUUUAGGUGUUGCCGGGGGCAUUGACAUUAGUGGCAAAUAUAUCCUUAAGUACAACUUACAAGUGGAGUUAGAAGACAACCACCCCCUAAGGACCUCUCUCUUUAACAUGGCCAACGCCAGAGAGGAGUUCGAGGAGGCCCAGGCGGACGAGCCGGCAGAGCAGUAG